UACGUAGGGUGCAAGCGUUAAUCGGAAUUACUGGGCGUAAAGCGUGCGCAGGCGGUUCUGCAAGACAGAUGUGAAAUCCCCGGGCUUAACCUGGGAACCGCAUUUGUGACUGCCUAGCUGGAGUACGGCAGAGGGGGAUGGAAUUCCGCGUGUAGCAGUGAAAUGCGUAGAUAUGCGGAGGAACACCGAUGGCGAAGGCAGUCCCCUGGGCAUGUACUGACGCUCAUGCACGAAAGCGUGGGGAGCAAACAGG
rnacentral:rRNA from 1 species